rnacentral:rRNA from 1 species
GACGAACGCUGGCGGCGUGCCUAAUACAUGCAAGUCGAACGAGAGCGACCGGUGCUUGCACUGGUCAAUCUAGUGGCGAACGGGUGAGUAACACGUGGGUAACCUGCCCAUCAGAGGGGGAUAACAUUCGGAAACGGAUGCUAAAACCGCAUAGGUUCUUGAGUCGCAUGACUGAAGAAGGAAAAGAGGCUUCGGCUUCUGCUGAUGGAUGGACCCGCGGUGCAUUAGCUAGUUGGUGAGGUAACGGCUCACCAAGGCCGUGAUGCAUAGCCGACCUGAGAGGGUGAUCGGCCACAUUGGGACUGAGACACGGCCCAAACUCCUACGGGAGGCAGCAGUAGGGAAUCUUCCGCAAUGGACGCAAGUCUGACGGAGCAACGCCGCGUGAGUGAAGAAGGAUUUCGGUUCGUAAAACUCUGUUGUUAGAGAAGAACAGCGCAUAGAGUAACUGUUAUGCGUGUGACGGAUCUAA